rnacentral:rRNA from 1 species
GAAAUUCGAUUAACGCGAAGAACCUUACCAAGGCUUGACAUACACGAGAACGGGCCAGAAAUGGUCAACUCUUUGGACACUCGUGAACAGGUGGUGCAUGGUUGUCGUCAGCUCGUGUCGUGAGAUGUUGGGUUAAGUCCCGCAACGAGCGCAACCCUCGUUCUAUGUUGCCAGCGCGUAAUGGCGGGAACUCAUAGGAGACUGCCGGGGUCAACUCGGAGGAAGGUGGGGAUGACGUCAAAUCAUCAUGCCCCUUAUGUCUUGGGCUUCACGCAUGCUACAAUGGCCGGUACAAAGGGCUGCAAUACCGUAAGGUGGAGCGAAUCCCAAAAAGCCGGUCUCAGUUCGGAUUGAGGUCUGCAACUCGACCUCAUGAAGUCGGAGUCGCUAGUAAUCGCAGAUCAGCA